GGGCCACAAACACAUUAUGAAAGUGGUUUUUAUUAACGACCCUUUAUUUCCUGCCAUCGCACCAACCCCGCGGUUUGCUGAGAAUUUGGGAAGCUUUGCUGUGGCCUGGGCUUAAUCUCAGGAGUUGAAGUAACAAGAGGAGUGAUAACACAGCUGUGGGCCCUUGAGGAACCUGAGUACCUGCCCUGGGCUUGCUGUGCACCUCUGCAGGCGUUACCUGAGCCAGGCUGGGACUUCUUGAGCACUGCAGAGAGAAGAUGGCUGGAGUGACACUUGCAUGAAAAACCACUGCUGUGGAUACAUCUACAGCACGACCAGCAGCUCUUGUUUGCCUCUGCCAAGGACAGAUGACAG